UACAGAGGUCCCAAGCGUUGUUCGGAUUCACUGGGCGUAAAGGGUGCGUAGGUGGCCAGGUAAGUUUGGUGUGAAAGCUCGGAGCUUAACUCCGAAAAGUCAUUGAAUACUAUCUGGCUGGAGGGUCGGAGGGGAGACUGGAAUUCUCGGUGUAGCAGUGAAAUGCGUAGAUAUCGAGAGGAACACCAGUGGCGAAGGCGAGUCUCUGGACGACUCCUGACACUGAGGCACGAAAGCCGGGGGAGCAAACAGG
rnacentral:rRNA from 1 species